GACGAACCGUGCGAACGUUGUUCGGAAUCACUGGGCUUAAAGGGCGCGUAGGCGGGCUGUCAAGUCUGGGGUGAAAUGCCGCGGCUCAACCGUGGAACUGCCUCAGAUACUGACGGCCUCGAGGAAGGUAGGGGCAUGCGGAACUGUAGGUGGAGCGGUGAAAUGCGUUGAUAUCAUCAGGAAUACCGGAGGCGAAGGCGGCUCACUGGGGGUUAUCUGACGCUGAGGAACGAAAGCCAGGGGAGCGAACGGG
rnacentral:rRNA from 1 species